rnacentral:rRNA from 1 species
UGGGGAAUAUUGGACAAUGGGCGGAAGCCUGAUCCAGCAACGCCGCGUGAGGGAUGACGGCCUUCGGGUUGUAAACCUCUUUCAGUACCGACGAAGCGAAAGUGACGGUAGGUACAGAAGAAGGACCGGCCAACUACGUGCCAGCAGCCGCGGUAAUACGUAGGGUCCGAGCGUUGUCCGGAAUUAUUGGGCGUAAAGGGCUCGUAGGCGGUUUGUCGCGUCGGGAGUGAAAACAGCGGGCUUAACUCGUUGCUUGCUUUCGAUACGGGCAGACUAGAGGUAUGCAGGGGAGAAUGGAAUUCCUGGUGUAGCGGUGAAAUGCGCAGAUAUCAGGAGGAACACCGGUGGCGAAGGCGGUUCUCUGGGCAUUACCUGACGCUGAGGAGCGAAAGUGUGGGGAGCGAACAGGAUUAGAUACCCUGGUAGUCCAUCACCGUAAACGUUGGGCGCUAGGUG